rnacentral:rRNA from 1 species
AGAGUUUGAUCAUGGCUCAGAGCGAGCGCUGGCGGCAGGCUUAACACAUGCAAGUCGAGCGGGCGUAGCAAUACGUCAGCGGCAGACGGGUGAGUAACGCGUGGGAACAUACCUUUUGGUUCGGAACAACACAGGGAAACUUGUGCUAAUACCGGAUAAGCCCUUACGGGGAAAGAUUUAUCGCCGAAAGAUUGGCCCGCGUCUGAUUAGCUAGUUGGUGAGGUAACGGCUCACCAAGGCGACGAUCAGUAGCUGGUCUGAGAGGAUGAUCAGCCACAUUGGGACUGAGACACGGCCCAAACUCCUACGGGAGGCAGCAGUGGGGAAUAUUGGACAAUGGGCGCAAGCCUGAUCCAGCCAUGCCGCGUGAGUGAUGAAGGCCCUAGGGUUGUAAAGCUCUUUUGUGCGGGAAGAUAAUGACGGUACCGCAAGAAUAAGCCCCGGCUAACUUCGUGCCAGCAGCCGCGGUAAUACGAAGGGGGCUAGCGUUGCUCGGAAUCACUGGGCGUAAAGGGUGCGUAGGCGGGUCUUUAAGUCAGGGGUGAAAUCCUGGAGCUCAACUCCAGAACUGCCUUUGAUACUGAAGAUCUUGAGUUCGGGAGAGGUGAGUGGAACUGCGAGUGUAGAGGUGAAAUUCGUAGAUAUUCGCAAGAACACCAGUGGCGAAGGCGGCUCACUGGCCCGAUACUGACGCUGAGGCACGAAAGCGUGGGGAGCAAACAGGAUUAGAUACCCUAGUAGUCC